rnacentral:rRNA from 1 species
CCCUUAGAUGUCCUGGGCCGCACGCGUGCUACACUGACGCAUACAGCGAGCACUUUCCAGUUCCGAGAGGCUACUGGUAAUCAUCAAUAUGCGUCGUGAUGGGGAUAGAUCUUUGGAAUUCUGGAUCUUGAACGAGGAAUGCCUAGUAAUCGCAGGUCAUUAGCCUGCGUUGACUAAGUCCCUGCCCUUUGUACACACCGCCCGUCGCUCCUACCGAUUUCGAGUGAUCCGGUGAAUCAUUCGGACCGCGGCCCCUAGGCAUGCGGAAAGUCUAGUAAACCAUAUCACUUAGAGGAAGGAGAAGUCGUAACA